CUUGAUAGAUCAUAAGAGGUCCCGCCUGCCCUGUGACUCAGUUUAACGGCCGCGGUACCUUAACCGUGCAAAGGUAGCACAAUCAAUCGUCCUCUAAAUAGGGACUAGUAUGAAUGGCUUCACGAGGGCCUAGCUGUCUCCCCUUUUUAAUCAAUGAAACUGAUCUUCUCGUGAAGAAGCGAGAAUAAAAAUAUAAGACGAGAAGACCCUAUGGAGCUUUAAACCCACCAUCACCUGCCCUUGCUACAACAAAACAACAGGCAGCCCUGCUACUAGGUGGUUUUCGGCUGGGGUGGCCCUGGAGUAAAACAAACCCUCCAGAUUGAAUGGUUUAAACCCCUAACCUAAGAAUUACUAUUCAAAGAAUCAACAUUUUGACAUAAUUGACCCAAUAAAUUGAUCAACGAACCAAGUUACCCUAGGGAUAACAGCGCAAUCCAUUUCAAGAGCCCCUAUCGACAAAUGGGUUUACGACCUCGAUGUUGGAUCGGGGUAUCCUAGCGGCGCAGCCGCUGCUAAAGGUUCGUUUGUUCAACGAUUAAUAACCC
rnacentral:rRNA from 1 species